GAUAAGUUAAUUGUUAUAUGCGUUAUGUAUGAUAAGUUUAAUGUGGGUCGGAAGGCAUUAUGUUAUGGGCCGGAAGGCGAAUAUGUUAUGGGCCGGAAGGCAUUGUAGUGUGGACCGAAGGGUUGGCGUGGGUAGGACCGGAAGGUUUACCCAGCAGGGACGGAAGUCCCCUGAGACACAUGGACCGGAAGGUCAGGGCCUGGAAAGGCGUAUGUGCGUAAGUUGUAUUUUGGGGAACUCACUAAGCGUUUAUGCUUACAGUUGUUGUGUAUGUGUUUCAGGUACUAGCGAGGACCGUGGGAGGGCGNGCGUUUAUGCUUACAGUUGUUGUGUAUGUGUUUCAGGUACUAGCGAGGACCGUGGGAAGGCGCCGGCGUGAUCUGUACACACUGAUAGAUGAUUUAUGAUCUUG
rnacentral:lncRNA from 1 species